GUGGGGAAUAUUGGACAAUGGGCGAAAGCCUGAUCCAGCCAUGCCGCGUGUGUGAAGAAGGUCUUCGGAUUGUAAAGCACUUUAAGUUGGGAGGAAGGGCAGUAAGUUAAUACCUUGCUGUUUUGACGUUACCGACAGAAUAAGCACCGGCUAACUUCGUGCCAGCAGCCGCGGUAAUACGAAGGGUGCAAGCGUUAAUCGGAAUUCCUGGGCGUAAAGCGCGCGUAGGUGGUUUUGUAAGUUGGAGGUGAAAUCCCAGGGCUCAACCUGGGAACUGCCUCCAAAACUGCAUGACUAGAGUACGGUAGAGGGUAGUGGAAUUUCAUGUGUAGCGGUGAAAUGCGUAGAUAUAGGAAGGAACACCAGUGGCGAAGGCGACUACCUGGACUGAUACUGACACUGAGGUGCGAAAGCGUGGGGAGCAAACAGGAUUAGAUACCCCAGUAGUCC
rnacentral:rRNA from 1 species